GACGAAGGUGACGACCGUUGCUCGGAAUCACUGGGCAUAAAGCGCGCGUAGGCGGCUUUUCAAGUCGAUUGUGAAAUCCCCGGGCUUAACCUGGGAACUGCAGUCGAGACUGUCUAGCUAGAGUAUGGGAGAGGGGAGUGGAAUUUCAGGUGUAGCGGUGAAAUGCGUAGAUAUCUGAAGGAACAUCAGUGGCGAAAGCGACUUCCUGGACCAAUACUGACGCUCAUGUGCGAAAGCGUGGGGAGCAAACAGG
rnacentral:rRNA from 1 species